CAAAAGGGCAACUUGAGAGCUCCAAAUCCGCUGUUCAACCGUUGACUUCAGGAAGAGCGCAAAGAAGAUAAUCUGUCUGUUCCAUGAAACGUGAGCUGGGCAGCAGAGGACCAUUUACAAAACCGUUCACCCACACAUUGGCAGAUUGGUAUUGAUUGACAGCUGGGAGUUAAGCUGGUACUGCUCUGAAGUCGCCAUGACCUCUAACCUAGAUGGCUACAAUACCUACUACGACUUCUCCUUGCCUCCAGGUUUGCCUCUCUACAUUCUAUUCUCAACAAAGCAACCAGGGUGAUUCACCUGAAACAUACAAGUCACAUCACGUCACCUCAUGUUACUGUAAUAGAUUUUCAUCUUCUCAGGAUGGAAGUGAAGAGUUAUUAGAAUACCAUAAAGAGACUAUGUUAUGUGUUCCCCAAAUGCCACCCCCCUACUAUACUGGCUUCAUAUUAUACUCUCACCCUUUCUCUUUCUGCUCUGAGCUGUUAGUUGUCUUGUUGUGUCUCCACCAUAAUAUAUAUGUUGCUAACUCAUGGCCUUUA